AUCGCUUCUCAGUCUUUUGGCUAAGAUCAAGUGUAGUAUCUGUUCUUCUCAGUUUAAUAUCUGAUACGUCCUCUAUCCAGUUUUCAUUCAUUAGCUUGGCAACUUUAAAAGUAAUCAUACCAAUUGCUGACAGGAAUAAAUCUGUUGUACCAAUCUACAGAGUAAUUUAAUGUUAUCUAGUAAGGUUAGGGGACU
ensembl:snRNA U2 U2 spliceosomal RNA